UACGUAGGGGGCUAGCGUUGUCCGGAUUUAUUGGGCGUAAAGAGCGUGUAGGCGGCCAUGUAGGUCCGGUGUGAAAACUCGAGGCUUAACCCUCGAGAUGUCAUCGGAAACCAUUUGGCUAGAGUCCGGAAGAGGAGAGUGGAAUCCUGGUGUAGCGGUGAAAUGCGCAGAUAUCAGGAAGAACACCAAUGGCGAAAGCAGCUCUCUGGGACGGUACUGACGCUGAGACGCGAAAGCGUGGGGAGCGAACAGG
rnacentral:rRNA from 1 species